UACAGAGGUCUCAAGCGUUGUUCGGAUUCAUUGGGCGUAAAGGGUGCGUAGGUGGCGAGGUUAGUCAGGUGUGAAAUCUCGGGGCUCAACCCCGAAACUGCACUUGAUACUGCCUUGCUAGAGUACUGGAGAGGAGAUUGGAAUUUACGGUGUAGCAGUGAAAUGCGUAGAUAUCGUAAGGAAGACCAGUGGCGAAGGCGAAUCUCUGGACAGUUACUGACGCUGAUGCACGAAGGCCAGGGGAGCAAACGGG
rnacentral:rRNA from 1 species